GAUGAACGCUGGCGGCGUGCCUAAUACAUGCAAGUCGAACGCUGGAAAUCUAGCUUGCUAGAUUGAAGGAGUGGCGAGCGGGUGAGUAAUACAUAAGCAACCUACCCACGAAGACUGGGAUAAUCUCUGGAAACGGGGACUAAUACCGGAUAGGUAAUCGGAAGGCAUCUUCUGAUUAUUAAAGGUUAAAAACACUGGUGGAUGGGCUUAUGGCGCAUUAGUUAGUUGGUGAGGUAACGGCCCACCAAGACGAUGAUGCGUAGCCGGCCUGAGAGGGUGAACGGCCACAUUGGGACUGAGACACGGCCCAGACUCCUACGGGAGGCAGCAGUAGGGAAUUUUCGGCAAUGGGGGAAACCCUGACCGAGCAACGCCGCGUGAGUGAUGACGGCCUUCGGGUUGUAAAGCUCUGUUGUAAGGGAAGAACGGUAGAUAGAGAAUAUCUAAAUGACGGUACCUUACCAGAAAGCCACGGCUAACUACGU
rnacentral:rRNA from 1 species